GAUGAACGCUGGCGGCGUGCCUAAUACAUGCAAGUCGAGCGAACGGACGAGAAGCUUGCUUCUCUGAUGUUAGCGGCGGACGGGUGAGUAACACGUGGAUAACCUACCUAUAAGACUGGGAUAACUUCGGGAAACCGGAGCUAAUACCGGAUGAUAUUUUGAACCGCAUGGUUCAAAGGUGAAAGACGGUCUUGCUGUCACUUAUAGAUGGAUCCGCGCCGCAUUAGCUAGUUGGUAAGGUAACGGCUUACCAAGGCAACGAUGCAUAGCCGACCUGAGAGGGUGAUCGGCCACACUGGAACUGAGACACGGUCCAGACUCCUACGGGAGGCAGCAGUAGGGAAUCUUCCGCAAUGGGCGAAAGCCUGACGGAGCAACGCCGCGUGAGUGAUGAAGGUCUUCGGAUCGUAAAACUCUGUUAUUAGGGAAGAACAUAUGUGUAAGUAACUGUGCACAUCUUGACGGUACCUAAUCAGAAAGCCACGGCUAACUACGUG
rnacentral:rRNA from 1 species